GUGAAUCAUCGAAUCUUUGAACGCACCUUGCGCUCCUUGGUAUUCCUCGGAGCAUGCCUGUUUGAGUAUCAUGAAAUCCUCAAAAUAAAUCUUUUGUUCAUUCGAUUGAUUUUAUUUUGGACUUGGAGGUCUGCAGAUUCACGUCUGCUCCUCUUAAAUUCAUUAGCUGGAUCUGUAUGAACUCGGUUCCACUCGGCGUGAUAAGUAUCACUCGCUGAGGACACUGUAAAAGGUGGCCGGGAUUAUUAUGAACCGCUUCUAAUAGUCCAUUGACUUGGACAAAUUACUUAUGAUCUGAUCUCAAAUCAGGUAGGACUACCCGCUGAACUUAAGCAUAUCAAUAAGCGGAGGAAAAGA
rnacentral:rRNA from 1 species